AUGGACCUGCUCCCGCGUUUCUUCCGCAGCACGUGCUGCUGGGUGGCGCUCCUUGACGACGACACCACGUUGUCGAAGGCGACGGUUAGCCCCGGGGCUCCGGCGGUGCUCCGGCUCCACGUGACCCGGAUGAGGAUCCCCUUGCCGGAGGACAGAGACGCGUUAUACACGCUGGUGGUCGCCGCCUGCAGCGAGCGGUCGAGCGCGCAGCCGCGGCCGGAGACAGAGGCCGCCGACGCGGCGGAGACUGCGACAGAGCCGUCGCCGAAGCAGGACAGGUCCCGCAUUGCUGCGCGGGGUAGGAUCAAGCGUGGCUUGGGAGCUGCAAUUCUUGCGAUGAAUGAGGCUGCAAGGAUGUGGGCGAGGAGGAGAAGAAGCGACGAUGAUGGAUGGUAA
rnacentral:rRNA from 1 species